AGGUUAUAUGAACUAGAGGCAUAUAAGUCAAAGCAUAACGGAUUACUGCGGUAAUGAGAGGGGCCUACUGACCAUUAGCUAGUUGGUGAGGUAAGGGCUCACCAAGGCGAAGAUGGUUAGGGGUUUGAGAGAGAGACCCCCCACAUUGGAACUGAGAGACGGUCCAGACUCCUACGGGAAGGCAGCAGUAGGGAAUAUUGGGCAAUGGGCGAAAGCCUGACCCAGCCAUGGCCGACGUGAAGGAAGACGGCCUUAUGGGUUGUAAACUUCUUUACUACGCGAAUAGAGGUUAGUACGAGAUACUAAUAGGAAGGUAGUGUAGUAAAAAAGCACCGGCUAACUCCGUG
rnacentral:rRNA from 1 species